ACAAGUAUGAAGAGAAUGUCGGGAGAGGAAGUGGUGGCUAUGAGUCAGCAUGAGUCAUCUCGUUCCAAUGAGAAUGAAGGCUGAGGUGUGCGCCUUUUUUUUUUUUCCUUCUUAGUCGUGUGUACAUCAUUGGGAAUGGAGGGAAAUAAAUGACUGGAUGGUCGCUGCUUUUUAAGUUUCAAAUUGACAUUCCAGACAAGCGGUGCCUGAGCCCGUGCCUGUCUUCAGAUCUUCACAGCACAGUUCCUGGGAAGGUGGAGCCACCAGCCUCUCCCUGACAAGCAAAGUGGAUCAGCAAAGGCUGCAGUCACCAGCAUCUUUUCCAACCUUAAUGAACUGUAUCCUCAAAAGAACACUAUCAGACUGGCUCUGCCGACUUCCAGUUCUGGAACAAGAUGGUUAAACUCAUUUUUCCCUGCUCUGCUCCUCUAAAUACAACUAAGUACCUUGGAAACUAUUCAGCAGACAAUGAUAAAGGGCUCUGAAAGCUAGAAGAAAAGGUGUACUUGCAAGAAACCUCAGGACUUGAGUAACAGCAACAUGGCAGGCCAGAAAGCAGACCCAGGGAGGAUAGCACAUGUCUUCGGCUACACUGGUGAAGGCAUCGUGCCUGCUCCACAGCACAUUUUUAUUCAAGAACAAUCCAUUUCACAGAUGAAGAAACAGACUCAGUGAGCACGUGAUCACUUCUCACAACUAAUGGAGCCAAGAUUCUGUCCUUAUGGCUCCAGAGACCUCUUUUUUUUCCCACUGUACCACAACACUCACCAGGACUGGAGUGCCACCUAUGACCUCAUUGCAUAAUGGAUGGCUUGUCCUCAAAUGGGCCCGGUCUUGGACGAGCCUGAGGAUGUCUACAAGUGGAAGAAAAGAAGCCACUGGAGCAGAAGGUGGGGAGGAUAAAAUUUGGAGCAAGAUUCUCAAGGAAGCAACAAGAUCCUAAGCUCACCAAGCUCCUGUAUCUACUGGAAAAUGGAAGUCCAGCCUUACCAACUUGUGAACCUUGUCUGAAGGGAGCCAGGGCCUGCCAAUGGAACCACCUCCAGGAGCUGCAACUGCUGUUGUCAUUAAUACCAUUGUGUCUAUUUUUUGAGAGAGAUAAACUUUUCAUGGUGUUACAUUUUGGAAAAAAAAAAAAAAGACUAGGUGAACAGUCAGGUAGGAAAGCAGCAUAACAGUCCCUUAAAUUCUGAUCAUGUAGGACAUUCUUCUUUGCCCUGGGCCUGGGAAAAUGCAGCAUGUUCCAGAGCAAAAGUCCUAAUGAGGGGAACUAAACCAGUGGGACCCAAACCAAUGUCCUGGCUCACUGAGGACCCGUUAGAACCAAAUCUCUGGGUGUGGACAGGCUCCCAUACUUUUCAAAAAUUCCCCUGAUGACUAAUGAACAACCAGAGGUAAGAACCAGUGGCCCAGAGGAAUAACCAGCCCAGCUGUUGUACGAGCUCGCUAAGCUGGCUCAGGUCAAUGUUGAAUUCUCUGCUAGGCAGCUCCUCAUAAGAACUGGCAGAGAUGGUUCUUACACAACAACAGGUGACAACUCCAGACUCUGCCGGAAGUUCCAGGAUCUGGGUUCCCGGACAAUGCAUGACACUCAGUCCAGCAUUGCAGGUGGAAGAGCGACGGUGAAAAGACCAAAGUCAAUUAAAAUGUGUUAACCAAAACAGGAAACAUGAGUGAGGUGAUUGAGAGUGUGUUUAACUUAGAUGUGUGAUUUUAUCAAUACUUUCAUUGUUCAAAAACUCUUAUUUUUUAAAGAUAUUUUCAAAACAAAUCCAAACUUUACUUUUCAUUCCAAAUUCGUGUUCCGUCUAUACUUGCAUUUGGGGAAAGAUUGAAACAAAACACAAAUACUUUGUAGCAAUGUUGGAGUGUCAUGUUCUUUGCAGAGGGACAGGAAAAAAAAAGGAUUUUUUUUUCUUAUCAAGAGAUACUGUUUCCUCAAGGAGAAAGGGCAUCAGUCCAAGGCACUGGUUUGCUCAAAAAGAUUAGUAAAGAACAAGCAUAUUUUGUCUGUGGUGACAACAUGAUCUCCCCCCCCCCACUAGUAAACUCACAGCAUCAGUACGCAGGCAGUGUGAUGCAUUUUCAAAGUUCCUCACUUUUCCAGAUCCAACAGGACUCUUGUGCACAUACUCGGUGUUUCCAUGGCAAAUCCACUGUGUAUGAAAAUUAGACCCUUCCAAAAAACAAAUUUACUAGUCAGUAACCAUCAUCAGCACUUUUUUUCUGUACCAUGAAAUUUGGGAACAAAAUUAAAGGGCUCUUGAUUGAAA
rnacentral:lncRNA from 1 species